rnacentral:rRNA from 1 species
CAGCCGCCGCGGUAAUACGGAGGGUGCAAGCGUUAAUCGGAAUUACUGGGCGUAAAGCGCACGCAGGCGGUCUGACAAGUCAGAUGUGAAAUCCCCGGGCUUAACCUGGGAACUGCAUUUGAAACUGUCAGGCUGGAGUCUUGUAGAGGGGGGUGGAAUUCCAGGUGUAGCGGUGAAAUGCGUAGAGAUCUGGAGGAAUACCGGUGGCGAAGGCGGCCCCCUGGACAAAGACUGACGCUCAGGUGCGAAAGCGUGGGGAGCAAACAGGAUUAGAUACCCGUGUAGUCCCUGUCUUUAUACC